AGCUUGCUCUUUCAUUUAGUGGCGCACGGGUGAGUAACGCGUAGAUAAUCUGCCUUGGACUCUGGGAUAACAUCUCGAAAGGUGCGCUAAUACCGGAUAAUACUGAGUGACUACUGUUGCUUAGUCAAAGAAGGCUUCUGUUUACAUGCUUUUGCUGAAAGAUGAGUCCGCGUACCAUUAGCUAGUUGGUAGGGUAAUGGCCUACCAAGGCUACGAUGGUUAGCUGGUCUGAGAGGAUGAUCAGCCACACUGGAACUGAGACACGGUCCAGACUCCUACGGGAGGCAGCAGUGAGGAAUAUUGCGCAAUGGGGGCAACCCUGACGCAGCAACGCCGCGUGAGUGAUGAAGGCUUUCGGGUCGUAAAGCUCUGUCGAGCGGGAAGAAAUGCAUGGUGGCUAAUAUCCAUCAUGCUUGACGGUACCGCUAAAGGAAGCACCGGCUAACUCCGUGCCAGCAGCCGCGGUAAUACGGGGGGUGCAAGCGUUGUUCGGAAUUAUUGGGCGUAAAGAGCGUGUAGGCGGCUGAAUAAGUCAGAUGUGAAAUCCCUGGGCUUAACCCAGGACGUGCAUUUGAAACUAUUCAGCUUGAGUAGGGGAGAGGAAAGUGGAAUUCCUGGUGUAGAGGUGAAAUUCGUAGAUAUCAGGAGGAACACCGGUGGCGAAGGCGACUUUCUGGCCCUAUACUGACGCUGAGACGCGAGAGCGUGGGUAGCAAACA
rnacentral:rRNA from 1 species